rnacentral:rRNA from 1 species
GAUGAACGCUGGCGGCGUGCCUAAUACAUGCAAGUCGAGCGAACGGACGAGAAGCUUGCUUCUCUGAUGUUAGCGGCGGACGGGUGAGUAACACGUGGAUAACCUACCUAUAAGACUGGGAUAACUUCGGGAAACCGGAGCUAAUACCGGAUAAUAUUUUGAACCGCAUGGUUCAAAAGUGAAAGACGGUCUUGCUGUCACUUAUAGAUGGAUCCGCGCUGCAUUAGCUAGUUGGUAAGGUAACGGCUUACCAAGGCAACGAUGCAUAGCCGACCUGAGAGGGUGAUCGGCCACACUGGAACUGAGCCACGGUCCAGACUCCUACGGGAGGCAGCAGUAGGGAAUCUUACGCAAUGGGCGAAAGCCUGACGGAGCAACGCCGAGUGAGUGAUGAAGGUCUUCGGAUCGUAAAACUCUGUUAUUAGGGAAGAACAGAUGUGUAAGUAACUGUGCACAUCUUGACGGUACCUAAUAAGAAAGCCACGGCUAACUACGUG